CGCGUUUCCAAAGCACGUAUGGUGUUGGAUUGUAAGGUGCCCAAGUACGUUUGCGAGGAAGAGAAUGUGGCCAGGUUGGAGAGGAAAGUGCAGUGGCAUAUUGGAAUGUGGGAUUAGCGUAAGCGAGUUACAGGGCGUUUUAUUGCACGGGCGAGUUUACGUGCAAAUCUUUCACCGUAGCAUCAGUCCUCAGUUCACUUCUUGGAACGAACAUCAGCAUAGGUGCAAGCCCUCUCGCUUGGGGGGAUAUGCAAACAAACAUCCUGAUAGGGGUAAACUUGGUAGCUCGGUAGCGUGCAUUCAACCGAGCACAUGCAUGCUUAGUUGAAUGGUGAGAUGCGACCCCCCCCUUCAUUUCGUGCUCGGCAAGCCUGCCACCGCGUACCGGAUAUGUUGGCGAUGUGACAGAACGCUGGACCUUGGUUUCUGUGCGCAAUGCGUACGAUGCUCGACCCCGCCGACCAAAACUACACGUGCCCAACUGAAGACAUUCCCGGUGGUUGUGCAGCAGCUCUUGAGGCUGUUGCUGGCUGAAAUCCAUCCUGAGCUGUUGCAACACGGCUAACGCGGGCACGUCCCUAUGCACAGCAAAUAGCUGUUCCAAGCCAACAGCGGCGUCCAUGUCACCGACAAGGCUCUAAACGUCUUAUCUGUUCUUAUGUUUAAUUAAGUUUAUGUAUGUUAUACUUUGCGCAACUUUGUAAUUUGACUUUACUCUGAACAAGGUGCUGCAUACAACUGCCUCUUCGCCAGCGCUUCAUCUUCCGCGGCAGUUUCACGAGCCCAGAGUUGCAAGCUACGACGUUGGCUUUCGGUGCAAUAGUCCAGCCUGCAUGCCGCGUGCGGCUAUGGCCAACAUGCCCACCUGCGCAACGCGCUGGCGCACCUGGUCCUUUUCCACCAAGAAAAUUUAUAUACACUUGUACAGGCGCAUUUUGAGAAUCGCACGCGCGCAUCUGCGCGGUAAAAUUCGCUCCUGACUUUUGGGCCGACAUGUACGUAGACUUUAUUCGGCACAGUACGACCGGACACAUUUGUGCGAGGGGCUGCUUAACGAGGGGCUGCUAGGGGGGUCCUUGUGAAGCAGCUGCCCGCGUUUCCAAAGCCCGUAUGGUGUUGGAUUGUAAGGUGCCCAAGUACGUUUGCGAGGAAGAGAAUGUGGCCAGGUUGGAGAGGAAAGUGCAGUGGCAUAUUGGAAUGUGGGAUUAGCGUAAGCGAGUUACAGGGCGUUUUAUUGCACGGGCGAGUUUACGUGCAAAUCUUUCACCGUAGCAUCAGUCCUCAGUUCACUUCUUGGAACGAACAUCAGCAUAGGUGCAAGCCCUCUCGCUUGGGGGGAUAUGC
rnacentral:lncRNA from 1 species